GCUGGCAUAAUGAUGAUGCCUUUUGCCGUUUACCCAACUGAGUUUUUUGAUGAGUAACUUGUAUCUGAGGUGCCAGC